rnacentral:SRP_RNA from 1 species
GAUGGGCGCAGUGGCACAUGCCUGUAGUCCCAGCUACUCGGGAGGCUGAGGCGGGAGGAUCACUUGAGCCCAGGAGUUCUGGGCUGUAGUGCACUAUGCCCAUUGGGUGUCUGCACUAAGUUUGGCGUCAAUAUGGUGACCUCCCGGGAGAGGGGGACCACCAGGUUGCCUAAGGAAGAGUGAACCGGCCCAGGUCGGAAACGGAGCAGGUCAAAACUGCUGUACUGAUCAGUAGUGGGAUCACGCCUGUGAAUAGCCACUGCACUCCAGCCUGGGCAACAUAGCAAGAUCCUGUCUCU